rnacentral:tRNA from 1 species
GAUUCCUCUUCUUGCCAGGCCCUGGGGUGUCAAGACAUAUAAGAUUGCAAAUCUUAGGUAGCAGGCUACUUACCU